UACGAAGGGGGCUAGCGUUGCUCGGAAUCACUGGGCGUAAAGCGCACGUAGGCGGAUCUUUAAGUCAGGGGUGAAAUCCUGGAGCUCAACUCCAGAACUGCCUUUGAUACUGAGGAUCUUGAGUCCGGGAGAGGUGAGUGGAACUCCGAGUGUAGAGGUGAAAUUCGUAGAUAUUGGGAGGAACACCGGUGGCGAAGGCGGCUCCCUGGUCCGAUACUGACGCUCAUGUGCGAAAGCGUGGGGAGCAAACAGG
rnacentral:rRNA from 1 species